rnacentral:rRNA from 1 species
GACGAACGCUGGCGGCGUGCUUAACACAUGCAAGUCGAGCGGUAAGGCCCUUUCGGGGGUACGACGAGCGGCGAACGGGUGAGUAACACGUGGGUGACCUGCCCUCCAGCUCUGGGAUAAGCCUGGGAAACCGGGGUCUAAUACCGGAUAUGACUCCAUGACGCAUGUUGUGGGGUGGAAAGCCUUGUGCGGCUGAGGAUGGGCCCGCGGCCUAUCAGCUUGUUGGUGGGGUGAUGGCCUACCAAGGCGACGACGGGUAGCCGGCCU